AUUAGCAGGGUGUCAUUUACAUUCAUCAACAGUCUUGGUUGUGUAGGGGGUGUUCUGGUAUUCUGCUAGUGUUUACCGCAGCAGGUUUGCCUCCGGGUCACCUUUAUUAUGACUGUAGAGGACCUGAGGGCGGGAGCGCACUAUCAUCACGGUCUGUGAUAUUUCUUAGGGACGGAGCAGCUCAGAGACUCUCUACUGCGGCGGCGAGCACAGCUUUCCUCUCACGCAAAGCCCUCAAGACUCAGUCUUUUUUGGCUUUGCUUACCUCUGGUACCUCCGGUCGAUAAGCUCCGCAUGAUUUAAACAUCACUGUGCCAGUUAUGCGACCCAGAACAACUUUUGCCCUCAUCUUCAGUCAGUUGCUUGCUGCGUAACGAGAAUUCAUCCAUAUUCCGUUUGAACGGCGGAAGGCGAUCAUGUUAAUUGCUGUUGGAUGUACACUGGUUUGCCGUGUUGUUGGAUUAAACGGGGGACGCAGCACGUUCUAAAGUGUUUUGCGACAUGGAGUCGUAUCGAUGACGAUUUUAGUUGGGCUGUAAUACUGCUCGGACUAAAGGUAAAAGUCUUCGUUGGAGUGGAUCCUGAGAGACUGAGUAUCUGUGCAGUAACCGCAGGGAUUAGACGCGAGUGGAAUCAAAAGCGCGCGGCUGAUAUGGGUUCUGUUAUUUGUGACAAGAGAUUAGCAGGCCUCCUCCUCCUUCAAGCCUCCUCCUUCCUGCUGUUCAGUACUGGGGAAAGGAUGUGCCCCUAUAGCUGCCGUUGCGAGGGAAAGAUUGUCCAUUGUGAGUCGUCUGGCUUCCAAGACGUCCCAGAAAAUAUUUCAGUUAGUUGUCAAGGUCUAUCCCUGCGCUACAAUGACCUGCACACAAUGCUCCCUUACCAGUUUGCCCAUCUUAACCAGAUACUGUGGCUGUACCUGGACCACAAUCAAAUCGUGUUUGUGGAUAGUCGUGCUUUUCAAGGGGUGCGCCGAUUGAAGGAGUUGAUCUUGAGCUCCAAUAGAAUUUCACAGCUUCAUAAUGUCACUUUUCACGGAGUACCUAACCUACGCAGUCUCGACCUCUCCUACAACAAGUUGCAGGAGCUGCAGCCGGGCCAGUUUUUUGGUCUUCGAAAACUGCAGAAUCUGCACUUGCGCUCCAACGGGCUGACAACGAUCCCUGUCCGGGCAUUUCUAGAGUGCAGAAGCUUGGAGUUUCUAGACUUGGGCUAUAAUCGGCUUCGGGUUCUUACUCGUACGGCAUUCCUGGGUUUGUCUCGACUUAUGGAGCUCCACCUGGAGCAUAAUCAGUUUUCACGAAUCAACUUCUUUCUUUUUCCUCGCCUUGCUAACCUUCGUGCCCUGUAUCUACAAUGGAACCGUAUUCGAGCUGUCAACCAAGGCCUUCCGUGGAGCUGGUACACCUUGCAAAAGCUUGAUAUCUCUGGCAAUGAGAUACAGGUACUAGAUCCUGUAGUAUUUCAAUGCCUCCCCAAUCUUCAGGUCCUCAACUUAGAGUCUAACAAACUGGCCAAUGUGUCUCAGGAUGUUGUGGCUGCCUGGAUCUCCCUAACAACCAUUAGCCUUGCAGGCAAUAUGUGGGAUUGUGGACCAGGCAUUUGUCCUCUUGUUGUCUGGCUCAAGAAUUUCAGAGGCACCAAGGACACUAGUAUAAUCUGCAGCAGUCCUAAGCACCUUCAAGGGGAGAAGGUUAUGGAAGCUUCAAAGACCUACAUUGACUGUGAUGACUACGAAAUUACUGCUCAAUCACCUUUGUAUCUGCAGACCUUUGAUCCAAAUUUUGACCUUACCCUUGAAACGACUGACCCGACAAUGGCUCCUACAACACCACCUCCACCCUUGCCUUCACCUGCCUCUGAGGCGCCAUUUCCACCUCCCCAUCCUCGACCGCCUCAACGCCCCACCUUCCCCAGCCGUGCAAAUCCAGAUCCCAGAGACUCCCAUCAAUGGACACCCUCAUCAUCUGACAGUUUAUUAGUCACGCCAGCUCCUGAGCAAGACAACGUGUCAUUCCACAAAGUAGUGAUGGGUGGGGUGGCGCUGUUCUUCUCAGUGUCCCUUGUCUUGUCAGUAAUUUAUGUCUCCUGGAAACGUUACCCUGGUGCCUCUCGGCUUUUGCAGCAGAGUACAGUGGGCCGUAAGCGGAGGAAAAAGAGUCAGGAGCCAGAACAGAACCUGAGCUCCCAGCUCCAGGAAUAUUACAUGAGCUACAACCCUGCAGCCACACCAGAAGCCUUGGAGGUGCUGGGCAAUGGGACAGGUACCUGCACCUGCACCAUAUCCGGCUCCCGGGAAUGUGAGGUAUGACAUGUGAAAGCAGCCUAAAAUCAAAUCAGAUCAAAACAAAUGAACGACUCAGGAAAUAGAGAAUGAAUACACAUGUCCCAGACCGUUACCUGGAGCUUGGAUUGGAGACAUACCCACCAUACACUGAAGGAACUGUUUUGUUGCUCAAAAUAAUCCACCGGCGGAGGAUUUGUGCCUACCUGCAUUUCAUCAGUUGCAUCAAGCUUUGCUCUCAUGAUACCACUCCUGCUUUCAGUGCAUCUUUAAUGGAUUGUGGUGGAUAUUCUUCAGUCAGACACUGCAAACGGACAUCUGAGAGAUAGUGGGAACAGAUGCCUCAGAUGCACAUUUUACUAAAACACAUCUGGAUGCCUCACUUUGUUCUUUAAUGCGCCUGGAUACAUGUAUCAGGUUUAUUUUGGAAGCCUUCGGUGGAACAUACCAAUGAAAGUUAUCCAGCCUUUGACGAAUCGCCCAGCGUCAUUUGACGUUUGUGUGGACCUAUAAAUAAACUACAAACUUUGUUAAUAUACCCUCGAAUUUAAAACAGGACUUGCCCUUUCCUUUGUUAUUUAAUGUACAUCCUUGGAAAAUUUGUGUAAAAUGAUGAGUUAAAACCUUUAUCUUUGCUGCCUAAUACUGGAUUUGUUAUGCUUUGCGUUUCUGCAAACAUCUCUGUACAGAUUUAUUUGAAGAGAUUCUCAAGUUUACCUGCCCUUCAUAACAGUAAUAAACUUCAUACUGUUAUACUGAGUAAUUUAAACACAACCUGUGAUCUCAUUGACUAUGCCAACACUGUUUGAAAUGUUUGAGUGUACAUAUGUAGUCUCGUUUUAUAGAAGAGUGUUUAAGGAAAUGUCAGGAUCUGAAUAUAGAGAAUGUUUUUUAAGUCCUAGUUUAAAGGCGUUAGCUUUGAGAUUGGUUCAGGUUCCACCAGCCCCUCAAUCUUCAAAUAUUGCAACUUGAAAGUGUCAUUUAUUUAUAUGCUCCCGCAUUUUGAUUUAAUAAUUACAUUUUGUAACCAAACUGUAUUAAUUGAACGCCACCAAGCUCUUGUUUAUAAUGAGAACACUGUCAAAAUCAAUGAUGAGAAAUAUACAUUUGUCAAAUGGAAAUUAGUAUUGAUCAGCUUAUUCAUUUUUUAUGCAUUUAUUAUUACUUAUUUAACAAUAUGGAGUUUAUUUUUCACCUUUUGAACAUUUCAUGUAGCUCAUUUGUACAUGAACAUUAAAAUAAAAACUGUAAUUUGGUAAAAUUAAGCAUUAAUUUGAAAAAAGUUUGGAAUGAUUAAGAUUAUUUCUGAAGUUAUAUUUAUAACCACAAUUAAUCCCAGACAUAAUUAAGGUAAGUAGUCAUUUAUGUUUACCAAUGCUGCAUUUAUUUAAUGAAAAAGUAAGUAUUCUGAAAUAUUAUUACAAUUUAAAAGGACAGUUUUCUAUUUGAAUGUUUUUAAAUGUAAUUUAUUCCUGUGAUUGCAAAGCUGAAUUUCCGUGUUUAAUCAGAAAGUAAAUGUGUUUCUGUUUUAGAGCUUAUUUGGCUGAGUCUGAGUCUCAAAACUUUGUUUGACUAAAGGGGGUGUUCAUACUGACCAUGAUUUGCAGCGACAAAAUCACUGUAAGUCAUUCCCUUUCAAUAAGAGCUGGCAGUUUUUGCCAGCAUGGGUGACGAUGUCGGCAUUUUUCUCAUUUGUGAUUCGUUUUUAAAAUCUACAGCCAAUUCCACACUCCCAGCAGCAUCGUCUACCAGCGACCAGCAGUACUGCAUCCUUCAGCGAUGACAAUCUGUCACUGUAAAAAAGUUAGUAAAAGAAAGUUCAAGCUACUUGGCUGCAUCCGCACGCUCAAGGAAAUGUCUUUCCAUAUAUCUCUUCUUUGAGAUGCUGUCAGAUCAAUAUCGGCCUCAUGACCCUGAAGGAGAGCCUCUCCGACUUGUGCCAACCCUGCCCUGUCCAAACAAACAAAGCUCUGGAUGUUCAAACCUCAUCCGGGCAUGUCAUAAUCAGCGCUAAAUAUGCUAUUUCUCAAGAGGAGGUUAACAUGAAGAGUUCGCCCCGCGUAGAGUCCUCCAGGAACACGUCAAGCUGUCUGAUAUGAGGUCCAGAUGGCAAAUUAGCUUCGGUGUUUUCCUACAGUGUUGUAUCUCCCCCUUCUCUCUCUUGCCUGCUGAAGCCACAGCUAAACAGACACAGCACUGUGUUCGACCGAACUCCCCCCAUGAAUUAUUCAUCGCCCCCAUCCCUUCUUGUUCGGAAAGGAGUCUUGACAUUUCGCCCAGUCAAUGGCCUACUACUGGAAGAGUGCUGUGUUCAGAGGACCCGACUGCAUCCAGAUAUUGGCUGUUGUGUGCUCUAUUAACCCCAAUCAUGAUGCCCCAAGAGUGCACAGGCACAAAAGACC